ACACAUGCAGUCGAGGGGUAACAGAUCUUCGGAUGCUGACGACCGGCGAACGGGUGAGUAACACGUAUGCAACUUACCCAUAACUCGGGAAUAGCCCAAAGAAAUUUGGAUUAAUACCCAAUAAUACAGGCGUACCGCAUGGUAUUCUUCGUUAAAGAAUAAUCGGUUAUGGAUAGGCAUGCGUUCUAUUAGGUAGUUGGUGAGGUAACGGCUCACCAAGCCGACGAUGGAUAGGGGAACUGAGAGGUUGUCCCCCCACACUGGUACUGAGACACGGACCAGACUCCUACGGGAGGCAGCAGUGAGGAAUAUUGGUCAAUGGACGAAAGUCUGAACCAGCCGAAUCGCGUGAAGGAAGAAGGUAUUAUGUAUCGUAAACUUCUUUUGUAAGAGAGUAAAGUGCACUACGUGUAGUGUAUUGCAAGUACCUUACGAAUAAGCAUCGGCUAAUUCCGUGCCAGCAGCCGCGGUAAUACGGAAGAUGCAAGUGUUAUCCGGAUUUAUUGGGUUUAAAGGGUGCGUAGGUGGUCUAAUAAGUCAGUGGUGAAAUCUCUUUGCUUAACAAGGAAAUUGCCAUUGAAACUGUUAGACUUGAGAAUGGACGAGGUAGGCGGAAUUCGUAGUGUAGCGGUGAAAUGCAUAGAUAUUACGAAGAACUCCAAUAGUGUAGACUGCUUACCAGACCAUAUCUGACACUAAGGCACGAAAGUGUGGGUAUCAAACAGGAUUAGAUACCCUGGUAGUCCACACAGUAAACGAUGAAUACUAACUGUUUGCGAUAUACAGCAAGUGGUCGAGCGAAAGCGUUAAGUAUUCCACCUGGGAAGUAUGCCGGCACGGUGAAACUCAAGGAAUGACGGGGGCCCGCACAGCGAGACAUGUGUUAUCGAUAUACGCGAGACUACCGGGC
rnacentral:rRNA from 1 species